rfam:Oryza barthii chromosome 9, whole genome shotgun sequence.
AAACAGACAAACCCUGAUUUCCGUGCCUAACGUUUGACUAUCCGUCUUAUUUGAAAAAAUUAUAAAAAAAUAAAAAGACAAGUCACGCAUAAAAUAUUAAUCAUGUUUUAUCAUCUAACAACAAUAAAAGUACGAAUUAUAAAAAAAUUUAUAUAAGACGGACAGUCAAAGUUAGACAUGAAAAUCCAAGGUUUGAUUUUUU